GGGGGGGCGGGGCGGGGCCGCUCGGGCUUGGCGCGACCAUCGGGGUAGGGGGUGGCUGACGCGGACCACCGGGCUCGGCCCGUGGCUUCUGGAGGAUGGAGUCGCAGUGACCGCCCCGACAUGUGUCGGGGAGACGGACUUCCUCUGGGUCCCGCCCCUACGGGUGCGUGCGGAGGCCCCCCGCUUCCCACGCACAUCCAGGAAAGCCGGCCCGGUUGGGGAGAAAUCGCUCUCGCCUAGAGGUGGGUCGGCGGGGACGGCCUCCAGCCUGGGCUCCGGAACCCCUUACAGGGCCAGGCGAGGCCGGAGCUCGGGCUGGAAGCGGCUUGCCGCGCCGUCCCGGAGCUCGCCGGGCUCACACUGCGUCCCUGGCCCCGGUGGCCUGGUGCGCGGAGGCUGCUCGGUCCGUGAGCCCUGGGACCCUCACCAGCUUCCCGCAGCCCCUCGGCACAGCUCUCCCCAGCCGGGACUUUGAAGUCUAGACCCCCGGCAAAGCGCCCCUAGCUGACAGCACGUUGCCUAUUCUGGUUUGGUAGCGGAGUACCCCAUUGCUGACAUUCUCCAAUGAGUUGUUUUCCGGCCCAGGAACCUUCUUUUUUUUAAUGUAAGAUUGAGUUUUAAAGUUCCGUUUGAAAUGAAAUAUAUAUGUGAGCAAAAUACAUAUAAGAAAAAGAUUCUCCAUCCAAGGGAAAGAACACCUCGGCGACCGGCGGAAUCCCUGGAGUUUCUCUGAGUUCCCAGAGCUGCGCCCGCCGCCCGAUGCCCAUGGGCCAGGAGGGGACUCCUGGCCUCUGACCGCCUGUGGGCGAGACGUAGGGGCUUCCAGUCUCCAGGAUCCCGCAGUUUGCCCAGAAAGGCACCCGCUGGGAAAUCCCCAUUCUCUGCUCCCCACCUCCUAGGGCAGAAGAUUCUCUGAAGGUCCUGGAGCCUGGCUGAUGGGCCCCACCCUAGCGGUACUGGAGGGACUUCAGACCGCAGAGAACUGUACGAUUCCGGGACCUCCCUGCCCUUGCGGGUUGCAGCUGGCGUUCCCCAGAUUACUAAUUCAGGGGGAACCCCCGCGUCCACAUGCCUCUCCUGCCAGACACCCCUCCUGGCUUGCCCUCUGGCCUGGGAAGAAGCAGCCCAUGUUUACACGUGGCCCGGCGAUCUGGAGAACCUGCCUUGCCCCACGCAGCCCGGGGGCCCCUGACACAUCCCCCCCAGCCUGUCCCCAGCCAUGGAGUUUCAUCUACAGUGCUCCCAGCUCCCAAAAGACCACGAUCCUGCUCUGCCUGGAAUCAUGAAAUAAUCAUUUUUUUAACACAAGGGUGUGGGGGUGUCGGGCGAGUUACAUAAAAUUGUGAAUUAGUCCCUGCUCCAAAUAAAUGCCUACUUGGGCCAGAGAACAGCAGAGAGAGAGCUGCGCGCUCCGUAAUUGUGUGCCGGGUGUCUCUCCAUUGUUCCCAGGGCCAUUAGUCAAAGGGCAAAUUAGGAAUAAUUUCUUGGCAAAAAUUGACUCUUAAUUCACCCCCACCCCCUGCCAGGCUCAGGGGGCCGGGUCCAGAGGGCAGGCAAGCAGGCCCGCCUGAAGGGGGGGCCCUGUAUCCACAGGUUUGCACUGGGCAUGAGGGGGAAGGAGGGUGAGCUGACCCAGCACCCCCUACCCUCCCUCAGCGGGAGAGCGGUGCACAUCCACUCUCUUUCCAAGGACAGUACAUGAGGGGUGUAAAAAAAAAAAAAAUCAGGCCUGUUCCCAGAAGCGCCUUAGCUGGAGGGGCUCCCCAGGCACCACUGAAGCCUCCAGGAAGCAGGG